AAUAUUAAAUGUAUCCACAAUAAUUGUUAGACAAUCGAUAUGAACUCAAUUUGAGCUACAUCAACCUGAUAGUGACAGAAUAAUGGUCAAAGAACCAAUUUUUCCCACAAAACUCCACCUAGUGAAU